CCACAGCCCUGCAAGCUGCUCUACCUGCCCGCCCGCCCGCACACCUUGGGCUGAAGCAGACACAUCAGGCUGGGGACACUGGACCCACAAACGCUCACCAGCUCCUGUCCCCAUCUCCUCCCAGAGAGAGAGAGGGUCUGGGGGUGCAGCUCUCCGUUUCCCCACCCCAGCUCUCAAAGACGAUUUAGGGAAGGAGCCAGUCUUCUCCUGCAGGGCUUCCCCUCCCUGUGUCCUCCCAAACCUCCCCAUGCUGGGUCACCUCUCCCCAAAAUCAGUCCUAAACCUUCUGGAAACAACAACAACAAAUCUUUGGGUCUCUAAGCCCUACAAGCAGGGCCAGCUAAGAUUCAGGGGAAUUUCUAUUCUCGCCCCGUCCCUGUGGGAACGUGGGCUAGUGCCUCCUCUCCUCAUCUCAGGUCCCUCUUCCCCUGAGCUACACCCUCAGCCCUUUUUAUUCUUUUUAUUUUCAGAUAGGAUCUCGCUAAGAGGCCCAAGUGGCCUCGAACUUGCAACCCUCCUGCCCCAGGCUCCAGAGUCCCUAGGAUUCAGGUAUGUGCCACCAUGCGCGGCCAGCAUCUUAUCUUAACAUGAGAGGGCUGAGUGGGGUGGGGGGAGGUGGCUGGUUUCAUUCUGAAUGCCUGGUGCCCUUGGUAGUGGCUGUCUGGGGCUCUGAUUGAGAAGGACUCAGAGGCCAGACUUUGUAAAAAAAAGGAUCAUGGAGCCAGGUGUGUCUGGGUGGGGACAGGGCAGCCACAGCAGAGUCUCCUGGCCUUCACCAGCUCUGGACUAGGACUGAGCACCCCUCUGUGGGGAGGUGGGGUGCGCUCCAUCCCUCUGGGCUUCAUGCCAAUCCACUUCCUUUCACAGCACCUGGGAAGGUGCCUGUCCUGUCCAAGCCACUGCCCAAGAGCGGGCUUCACUGUUGGCCCUUGUCACCAGGCAGGGCCUUUUCCUGAUGAAAGUCUUCUUUUUCAACCUGCUAAGAACCACGUGGCUGUCAUUUGACGCCCAUCUGUCUCCAUCCUACCUUAAUCUUGUUUGAAUCUUUUUUGAAAUUAAAAAAAGUACAAAGCAAGAUAUAAGGAAGCCCCAUAUCCUGCUACCCACGAUUGACAGGUGUUAACUACCGGGCUGUCCCUGUUCCCCUGUGACCUCGUGUCACAUCAACGUGACCCCAUGGGCCUCCUGGCUGUUCCUGGAACACAGGAAGCAGCUCCCUCCGUGGGUCUUUGCUGUGACAGUUCCCUCCAUCUGGAGCAAGCUUCCUCCAGAAGCCUUGGUGACUCCCUCACAUCCUCACUUCCCUCCAUCUCUGCCCAGAUGUCACCUCUUCAGAGCGGCUUCCCUGAACCCUCACUGAAGUAGCUGCCUGACUUCUUUGUAGCCCUUGGUGAGAUUCCCUGUCUAUUUAUCAUGUGCCUCGCACAUCGCAGCUGGAAUCUUGUCUGAUGUGCUCUCUGCUGGGUCCCUGGGGGGUCCCUGGCACCUAGAAAGCAUCACAGAGAAAAUUAGCUAUGGAAAAAAAGGGGGGGGAGGGCUCUUGGUAAACACGUGUUGAAUUAUUUUUUUGCCACAAAUGCUUUUAUUUUAUAAUUGAAAUGGAAGCUCUUGCCAGACAUGAUGGCACAUGCCUGUAAUGCCAGGGACUCUGGAGGCUGAGGCAGGAGGGUCACAAGUUUGAGGCCAGCCCCAGCAAUUUAGCAAGGCCCCAAGCAGCUUAGCAAAUAAAAUUUAAAAAAAGACUGGGGAUGUGGCCCAGUGGGAAAGCACCCCUGGGUUCAAUCCCCAGGACCUGAAAAGAAAAAACAGGAAGCCCUUGACUUUAGAGCCCAGUUCUCACUACGGUGCCUUUUCUCCAAGCACGACAAUUACUCUGAGUUUACCGUACUUCUCUCUAGUCCAUUUUCCGCCUCCGUAAAUGAACAGUGUCGAGUAUUACAGCCGGCCCUCUGUAUCUGCGGGUUUUGAAUUUACAGAUUCAUGCAACCGAGCAUUGAAAAUAAUCUAAAACACAAUAAAAUGUUGCACGUGUACUGAGCACGCCCAGACUUCUUUCUGUGUUUAUUCCCUGAGCAGCCUGACAACUCUCCCGGGGCACUCAGGUAUUAGAAGGAUCUGGAGAUGGUGGAGAGUAGCCAGGAGAACGUUUGCGGUUAUAUGCAAACACUGUGGAGCGGGGACUUGAGCGUCCCUGGGUUUUUGUAUUUGAAGGAAGAGGUCCUGGAACCCAUCCCUGUGGACAGUGAGAGAUGACUGCUUCCCGCAGUCAGGGUCGACGUCUCCACCACCAAUGUUUCUGAGAACAUUCCAAGUUGAUGGGUUCUGGGUUCCGAUCUGACCCCCACCCCCACCCCAUCCACUCCUUGCCCCGUCUGCUUCCCUGUCGCGGCUGUUGGUGUUGAACCUCUGCUCUGUCCCCUGCGCGGCCAUGCACAUGCUGACACCUGCCUUCCCAGGCACGGGGCUAAGAGUUUCUCUAGGUCGUGAACCUAGAAAGUAGAACUGCCGGGCGGGCAGGGGGCGGGGCUGCACAUUUUCCUUUUUGCUGGGUCCUGCCAAAUCCCUCUCCCUAGGGGCAGUACCCACGAUGGAGCGGGCCAGCGGCUCGUGAGACUCCCACGUGCCACGUCUGCAGCCGCUGGGAACCCACAGGAGUUUCCUUCUACAGCCUCGGUGUCUUCCAAGUGCUUCCCGCUCUCGCCUCCCCAAGGCCCUGCAGGAUUCCUCUUAUUUGAUGGAUGAGCGAGGGGGACCCUGGGUCUCUCUGGGGACCCUCUAACCCCACUCCCACUCCCUUGUCCUCCAUUCUGUCCAACUCUACCCCCCCUCACUGCGUCUCAUUCCAGCCCAGGGGGACCUAAGGAGCAGCUGGUCCCUUCCCGGACCACAAGUCUCCAGACUCGGAGAAGAGCGGCAGCUGGCUUCCCAUUUAGAUAUUAUCUCCUCUGGGCUCAGCUUCCCCGCCGCC
rnacentral:lncRNA from 1 species